rnacentral:rRNA from 1 species
GACGAACGCUGGCGGCGUGCUUAACACAUGCAAGUCGAACGGUGAACUCCGCUUGCGGGGGGAUCAGUGGCGAACGGGUGAGUAACACGUGGGCAACCUGCCCUCAGCUCUGGGAUAACUCCAAGAAAUUGGGGCUAAUACCGGAUAUGACCGCUGACCGCAUGGUCUGGUGGUGGAAAGAUUUAUCGGCUGGGGAUGGGCCCGCGGCCUAUCAGCUUGUUGGUGGGGUAGUGGCCUACCAAGGCGACGACGGGUAGCCGGCCUGAGAGGGUGACCGGCCACACUGGGACUGAGACACGGCCCAGACUCCUACGGGAGGCAGCAGUGGGGAAUAUUGCGCAAUGGGCGAAAGCCUGACGCAGCGACGCCGCGUGGGGGAUGACGGCCUUCGGGUUGUAAACCUCUUUCAGCAGGGACGAAGCGAAAGUGACGGUACCUGCAGAAGAGGCACCGGCCAACUACG